UGGGGAAUAUUGCACAAUGGAGGGAACUCUGAUGCAGCAACGCCGCGUGCGGGAUGACGGCCUUCGGGUUGUAAACCGCUUUCAGCCAUGGCGAAGCUUUUGUGACGGUAGUGGUAGAAGAAGCACCGGCUAACUACGUGCCAGCAGCCGCGGUGAUACGUAGGGUGCGAGCGUUGUCCGGAAUUAUUGGGCGUAAAGAGCUUGUAGGCGGUUUGUCGCGUCGAUAGUGUAAACACGCAGCUUAACUGUGUGCCUGCUGUCGAUACGGGCUGACUAGAGGAGGGUAGGGGAGAAUGGAAUUCCCGGUGGAGCGGUGGAAUGCGCAGAUAUCGGGAGGAACACCAGUGGCGAAGGCGGUUCUCUGGACCUUUCCUGACGCUGAGAAGCGAAAGCGUGGGUAGCAAACAGG
rnacentral:rRNA from 1 species